AUGUGUAUGCUCUUUGCGGAUGAUGUGGUGCUAGUUGACGAUAGUCGGACGGGGGUAAAUAGGAAGUUAGAGUUAUGGAGACAAACCUUGGAAUCGAAAUGGUUUAGGCUUAGUAGAACUAAAACCGAGUACAUGAUGUGCGGUUUCAGUACUACUAGGUGUGAGGAGGAGGAGGUUAGCCUUGAUGGCCAGGUGGUACCUCGGAAGGACACCUUUCGGUAUUUGGGGUCAAUGUUGCAGGAGGAUGGGGGUAUUGAUGAAGAUGUGAACCAUCGAAUCAAAGCCGGAUGGAUGAAGUGGCGCCAAGCUUCUGGCAUUCUCUGUGACAAGAGAGUGCCACAAAAGCUAAAAGGCAAGUUCUACAGGACGGCGGUUCGACCCGUAAUGUUGUAUGGCGCGGAGUGUUGGCCGACUAAAAGGCGACAUGUUCAACAGUUAGGUGUGGCGGAGAUGCGUAUGUUGAGAUGGAUGUGUGGCCACACGAGGAAGGAUCGAGUCCGGAUUGAUGAUAUACGAGAUAGAGUUGGGGUAGCACCAAUUGAGGAGAAGCUUGUCCAACAUCGUCUGAGAUGGUUUGGGCAUAUUCAGCGC
rnacentral:rRNA from 1 species